rnacentral:rRNA from 1 species
UACAGAGGUCUCAAGCGUUGUUCGGAUUCAUUGGGCGUAAAGGGUGCGUAGGUGGCGGCCUAAGUACCUUGUGAAAUCCUGCGGCUCAACCGCAGAACUGCUUGGUAUACUGGGUCGCUUGAGCCAUCCAGGGGCAACUGGAACAAGCGGUGGAGCGGUGAAAUGCGUAGAUAUCGCUGAACGCCAAAGGUGAAACAGGUUGCU